AUUGAACGCUGGCGGCAGGCCUAACACAUGCAAGUCGAGCGAGAGGCGCACGGGGGAGUAAUGUGUGGGGCGUGCCCGAGAGAGGGGGAAAUACUGUAAACGGUAGCUAAUACCGCAUACUAUAGGAGUGCCCCUAUGGGAUUAGCUAGUAGGUGAGGUAAUGGCUCACCUAGGCGACGAUCCCUAGCUGGUCUGAGAGGAUGAUCAGCCACACUGGGACUGAGACACGGCCCAGACUCCUACGGAGGCAGCAGUGGGGAAUAUUGCACAAUGGGCGCAAGCCUGAUGCAGCCAUGCCGCGUGUAUGAAGAAGGCCCUAGGGUUGUAAAGUACUUUCAGUCGGGAGGCGUUACCGACAGAAGAAGCACCGGCUAACUCCGUGCCAGCAGCCGCGGUAAUAC
rnacentral:rRNA from 1 species